UUGCACGCUGGCGGCCUGCCUCACACAUGCCAGUCGCACGGCAGCGCGGGGGCAACCCUGGCGGCGAGUGGCGGACGGGUGAGGAAUGCAUAGGAAUCUGCCCGGUUGUGGGGGAUAACGUAGGGAAACUUACGCUAAUACCGCAUACGACCUUCGGGUGAAAGUGGGGGACCUUCGGGCCUCACGCGAUCGGAUGAGCCUAUGCCCGAUUAGCUAGUUGGCGGGGUAAGAGCCCACCAAGGCGACGAUCGGUAGCUGGUCUGAGAGGAUGAUCAGCCACACUGGGACUGAGACACGGCCCAGACUCCUACGGGAGGCAGCAGUGGGGAAUAUUGGACAAUGGGCGCAAGCCUGAUCCAGCAAUGCCGCGUGUGUGAAGAAGGCCUUCGGGUUGUAAAGCACUUUUGUUCGGGAAGAAAUCCGUGUGGUUAAUACCCGUACGGGAUGACGGUACCGAAAGAAUAAGCACCGGCUAACUUCGUG
rnacentral:rRNA from 1 species